UCCGGCUUACCACCGGCGGUCCCACUAGAGUGCCCAACUAAAUGAUGGCAACUAAGGGCGAGGGUUGCGCUCGUUGCGGGACCUAACCCAACAUCUCACGACACGAGCUGACGACAGCCAUGCAGCACCUGUCACCGAUCCAGCCGAACUGAAAGACUCCCUUUCAGGAGUCCGCGAUCGGGAUGUCAAGGCCUGGUAAGGUUCUUCGCGUUGCAUCGAAUUAAGCCACAUACUCCACCGCUUGUGCAGGCCCCCGUCAAUUUCUUUGAGUUUUAAUCUUGCGACCGUACUUCCCAGGCGGCUUGCUUAACGCGUUAGCUCCGCCACAAGAGGGGUCGAUUCCUCUUACAGCAAGCAAGCACCGUUUCGGGCUAGGACUAC
rnacentral:misc_RNA from 1 species